ensembl:processed_transcript
AAAGAAGCAAAGGACCUCAAAUCUCAGCAUGUACACCAGUAGGAUCAGGCUGAACAGUUUCAAGCAUUGUGUUUCAGUCCUCAGAGCCACCAUACAAGGUACAGUCUGUUUUUUGAACAAAUGGCACAAUUGAGUCAUGGUGAAGUCAACCUUGUGGAUAAGAAGAAGGAUUAACUCUGGCCCUUGGUAGAGCACUGAUCUCGUAUGAUCAAGGCCCUGGAUCGAACUAUGGGAAAUGAAAAAGAAAUUUCAAACAUAAAGACACACACAAACAAUUUAGAACUACCAAUGCAGCUACUUUCAACUUCCCUGUACCUUCCUGAAAUGUUUCAAAUGUAAUAUUGAAACUGAAUAUUUGUGGUGUCUUGAGUUCAAACAUUCAUUCAUUGAUUUACGUUUCUGAGGAAUGAUGGGUACUCAUCUAGUCUCAGUCCAUUUAAGAUUCACAAACAUUGUCCCAGACAAUGAGACCCAUCUUUCUUCAGCAUAGAGAAGAUGAAUCACUAGACUAUGCACGUAGCAGUAAAGGGGCUUGAUACAGCCAAACUUUGGCUCAGACCCUCUGGCCAGGCCCAUUUGGAUAAUGUGCCUGCUUUUGCACAGUUGUCAGUCUUAUCAGUAAGUGUCCUGUGAGCAAAAAAACCAAGAAGACUCCUCCAGUAAGAGUAAAAGAUGCUUGUGACUGUCUGCAGUUAAGGUAGUAGAGUUCUCAUAACUUGGGCCUUCAUUUCUCCAGGCCCAGCUGUCCCCUGGCUUUGGCAGUGGCAUAUUGAUGGGACUGUCUGUUCUAGAAAACACAUGCUGGGAUGUUAGAAAGGAUGAGCUCUCAGCUUCCAUAGUGAUAUCUCUUUUGGAGCCCUUACUUGAGGGCCUAGUACCAAAUCAGGCCAUAUUCACAGAUGGUUCUUUCUUUCCCACCACUGAUAAUCAGGCCUUUCUUUAUUUUAUUCAUAUUACUGUUGUUGAUAGAGUCUCAUGUUUCCCAGGCAGGCACAGAGUCAUGAUCCUUCUGCCCUAUGUCCAUGGUGUUGAAAUAAGAGGCUUGUCACCAC